GACGAACGCUGGCGGCGUGCUUAACACAUGCAAGUCGAACGGAAAGGCCCUGCUUUUUUGGGGUUCUCGAGUGGCGAACGUGUGAGUAACAUGUGAGUAACCUGCCCUUUACUUUGUGAUAACUUCAGGAAACUGGUGCUAAUACCGGCUAGGAGCUCCUGCUGCAUGGUGGGGUUUGGAAAGUUUCGGCGGUUGGGGAUGGACUCGCGGCUUAUUAGCUUGUUGGUGGGGUAGUGGCUUACCAAGGCUUUGACGGGUAGCCGGCCUGAGAGGGUGACCAGCCACAUUGGGACUGAGAUACGGCGCAGACUCCUACGGGAGGCAGCAGUGGAGAAUAUUGCACAAUGGGCGGAAGCCUGAUGCAGCAACGCCGCGUGCGGGAUGACGGCCUUCGGGUUGUAAACCGCUUUCGCCUGUGACGAAGCGUGAGUGACGGUAAUAGGUAAAGAAGCACCGGCUAACUACGUG
rnacentral:rRNA from 1 species